rnacentral:rRNA from 1 species
GGGCCCGCACAAGCAGUGGAGUAUGUGGUUUAAUUCGAAGCAACGCGAAAACCUUACCAGGUCUUGACAUCCUAGAAAUCUUGCAGAGAUGCGAGAGUGCCUUUCGGGGAAUCUAGAGACAGGUGGUGCAUGGUUGUCGUCAGCUCGUGUCGUGAGAUGUUGGGUUAAGUCCCGCAACGAGCGCAACCCUUGUUAUUAGUUGCUACAUUUAGUUGAGCACUCUAAUGAGACUGCCGUUGACAAAACGGAGGAAGGUGGGGACGAUGUCAAAUCAUCAUGCCCCUUAUGACCUGGGCUACACACGUACUACAAUGACCGUUAACAAAGGGACGCAAUAUCGUGAGGUGGAGCCAACCCCUAAAAGACGGUCUCAGUUCAGAUUGUAGGCUGCAACUCGCCUACAUGAAGUCGGAAUUGCUAGUAAUCGCGGAUCAGCAUGCCG